AUCUGGCUCAGGACGUACGCUGGCGGCGUGCCUAAUACAUGCAAGUCGAACGAACUCUGGUAUUGAUUGGUGCUUGCAUCAUGAUUUACAUUUGAGUGAGUGGCGAACUGGUGAGUAACACGUGGGAAACCUGCCCAGAAGCGGGGGAUAACACCUGGAAACAGAUGCUAAUACCGCAUAACAACUUGGACCGCAUGGUCCGAGUUUGAAAGAUGGCUUCGGCUAUCACUUUUGGAUGGUCCCGCGGCGUAUUAGCUAGAUGGUGGGGUAACGGCUCACCAUGGCAAUGAUACGUAGCCGACCUGAGAGGGUAAUCGGCCACAUUGGGACUGAGACACGGCCCAAACUCCUACGGGAGGCAGCAGUAGGGAAUCUUCCACAAUGGACGAAAGUCUGAUGGAGCAACGCCGCGUGAGUGAAGAAGGGUUUCGGCUCGUAAAACUCUGUUGUUAAAGAAGAACAUAUCUGAGAGUAACUGUUCAGGUAUUGACGGUAUUUAACCAGAAAGCCACGGCUAACUACGUGCCAGCAGCCGCGGUAAUACGUAGGUGGCAAGCGUUGUCCGGAUUUAUUGGGCGUAAAGCGAGCGCAGGCGGUUUUUUAAGUCUGAUGUGAAAGCCUUCGGCUCAACCGAAGAAGUGCAUCGGAAACUGGGAAACUUGAGUGCAGAAGAGGACAGUGGAACUCCAUGUGUAGCGGUGAAAUGCGUAGAUAUAUGGAAGAACACCAGUGGCGAAGGCGGCUGUCUGGUCUGUAACUGACGCUGAGGCUCGAAAGUAUGGGUAGCAAACAGGAUUAGAUACCCUGGUAGUCCAUACCGUAAACGAUGAAUGCUAAGUGUUGGAGGGUUUCCGCCCUUCAGUGCUGCAGCUAACGCAU
rnacentral:rRNA from 1 species